GAUGAACGCUGGCGGCGUGCUUAACACAUGCAAGUCGAACGGAAAGGCCCAAGCUUGCUUGGGUACUCGAGUGGCGAACGGGUGAGUAACACGUGGGUGAUCUGCCCUGCACUUCGGGAUAAGCCUGGGAAACUGGGUCUAAUACUGGAUAGGACCACUUCUUGGAUGGUGUGGUGGAAAGUUUUUUCGGUGUGGGAUGAGCUCGCGGCCUAUCAGCUUGUUGGUGGGGUAAUGGCCUACCAAGGCGUCGACGGGUAGCCGGCCUGAGAGGGGGUACGGCCACAUUGGGACUGAGAGACGGCCCAGACUCCUACGGGAGGCAGCAGUGGGGAAUAUUGCACAAUGGGCGCAAGCCUGAGGCAGCGACGCCGCGUGGGGGAUGACGGCCUUCGGGUUGUAAACUCCUUUCGCUAGGGACGAAGCGUUUUUGUGACGGUACCUGGAGAAGAAGCACCGGCUAACUACGUG
rnacentral:rRNA from 1 species